rnacentral:lncRNA from 1 species
GAAGACAAAUGGCUUGUCCUGAUCGGAUGUUUGGAAAGGCGCCAAAUAGAGUUCCUCCAGAUUUGGGUACCCAGCUAGAAGUUGCCCCAAGUCUUGAUUAAACUCCAUAUCAUUGUUGUGCAGCGCCAAGCACCGCAUGGACUGCCCAGCUAACUCUUUAGAGAUCCCUGGCGCAUCAUAUUUUUCUUCUCAUUCUUGUACAUGACUUGGGCAGCCACUUCUUUGCACAAGGCCACAGUUUCCCCAAAAGCGGGCAAGAGGUGAACAGAGUGCCACACCUGAAGGUCUUUCGUGAUUUUCUAUCAAGGUAGAGGUGUAGUUGUCGGUCUGCAGCAGCUGAAGGCCAUUUGGUGGGCCGGCUACUAGAUCAGCCAAGAAGUCCUCGCUG